rnacentral:rRNA from 1 species
GAUGAACGCUGGCGGCGUGCCUAAUACAUGCAAGUCGAGCGAACGGACGAGAAGCUUGCUUCUCUGAUGUUAGCGGCGGACGGGUGAGUAACACGUGGAUAACCUACCUAUAAGACUGGGAUAACUUCGGGAAACCGGAGCUAAUACCGGAUAAUAUUUUGAACCGCAUGGUUCAAAAGUGAAAGACGGUCUUGCUGUCACUUAUAGAUGGAUCCGCGCUGCAUUAGCUAGUUGGUAAGGUAACGGCUUACCAAGGCAACGAUGCAUAGCCGACCUGAGAGGGUGAGCGGCAACACUGGAACUGCGCCAGGGCCCAGCCUCCGACGGGGGGCAGCAGGAGGGAAUCUCCCGCAAGGGGCAAAACCCGGACGGAGCACCGCGGGGUGAGUGAUGAAGUUUUCCGGACCGUAAACCUGUUUUAUGGGGGAAAAAAAUUUGUUAAAGAACCUGUCCACAUCUUGACGGUCCCAAAUAAAAAAGCCCCGGCUACCUCCGUG